rnacentral:misc_RNA from 1 species
GUGAGUCAUCGAAUCUUUGAACGCAAAUUGCGCCUUUUGGUAUUCCGAAAGGCAUGCCUGUUUGAGUGUCAUAUAGACCUCACCUAAUCGGUUUUCCGACUAUGGUGCUUUGGGUGUCUGCCAUUUGUUUGGCUCACCUUAAAUGUCUAAGUGGAACAGCGUGAUAAGUUCUUCGCUACCCUUCCACUCUAAAUCCAAUUCAAUCUCUGACCUCAAAUCAGGUAGGACUACCCGCUGAACUUAAGCAUAUCAAUAAGCGGAGGA